rnacentral:lncRNA from 1 species
GUGAAAUAGAACUAAAAUUUAGAUUUAUGAAAAUAUGAGUUUGUGCAACGUGGGACAUAAUUGGAGCUGGAGCUAGCAUGAUGGAGUCACCACAAUGAAGCAUGGCUUCUUUAAGGUAUGUGUUCUGCAGACUCUCUCCUUAAUAGUGGUAAUUCUUCAAGCAAGAAAAGAAUGAAUUCUCCUGCAUUCCAGUUCUGUACAGAAUAUAUUCAGUUUAAGAUGACAUUUGCCAAUUCUAAUUCUUUGGGAUGUUUUCACAACGGAGUUAGCUAUGGAACUGAAGUUUUGCUGGACGUAUACAAGACUAAAAUUCUGGGUAAAUAUGAAAAUUUGUCAGUGGUGUUGUGCUCCCACUCCCAGUGAUCAGCUGUGUCCCAGGGUCACUCCAGGUGAGAUCUCUUAGAGGUUGGGGGCCUUCAUCAGGGAUAACAUGAUGUUCAUGGGAGACCUUCUUCUGUUAUGAAUCCAUUUUGAGGUAUUCUUAUUCAUUUUCUAAUGGUCUGUUUCCUUGUUCCUUGUUCAUUCAUUCUCAGUUCUGCAUUAUACUUGUUUUUCUUUCUGUUCUGCUUCUUAUCACUAGCAUGUUUCACCUGACUUACAAACUCUGCCUAAAAGCAAUUGGCCAUCACAAUUUGUGCUUACCGUCUGGGGCCACCAGUAGUAACUUGUUCAUCUUUUAUUCUACACCAUAUUUUUCAAUCUAAUGUAAUAAAAAGUCUCAACAGAAUAUUUCUUACUACA